rnacentral:rRNA from 1 species
ACGGAGGGUCCAAGCGUUAUCCGGAAUCAUUGGGUUUAAAGGGUCCGUAGGCGGGCAAUUAAGUCAGAGGUGAAAUCCCACAGCUCAACUGUGGAACUGCCUUUGAUACUGGUUGUCUUGAGUUAUAUUGAAGUGAGUAGAAUAUGUAGUGUAGCGGUGAAAUGCUUAGAUAUUACAUAGAAUACCGAUUGCGAAGGCAGCUCACUAAGUAUAUACUGACGCUGAUGGACGAAAGCGUGGGGAGCGAACAGG